GAUGAACGCUGGCGGCGUGCCUAAUACAUGCAAGUCGAGCGAACAGACGAGGAGCUUGCUCCUCUGACGUUAGCGGCGGACGGGUGAGUAACACGUGGAUAACCUACCUAUAAGACUGGAAUAACUUCGGGAAACCGGAGCUAAUACCGGAUAAUAUAUUGAACCGCAUGGCUCAAUAGUGAAAGACGGUUUUGCUGUCACUUAUAGAUGGAUCCGCGCCGCAUUAGCUAGUUGGUAAGGUAACGGCUUACCAAGGCAACGAUGCGUAGCCGACCUGAGAGGGUGAUCGGCCACACUGGAACUGAGACACGGUCCAGACUCCUACGGGAGGCAGCAGUAGGGAAUCUUCCGCAAUGGGCGAAAGCCUGGCGGAGCAACGCCGCGUGAGUGAUGAAGGUCUUCGGAUCGUAAAACUCUGUUAUUAGGGAAGAACAAAUGUGUAAGUAACUAUGCACGUCUUGACGGUACCUAAUCAGAAAGCCACGGCUAACUACGUG
rnacentral:rRNA from 1 species